UGCGUGUAAAACCCAGAUUAGCAAUGGCGGACAAGCCAAGCAGAGCUCUGGUGUUGUACGGCGAUGGAUUGGCUCAAUUCGUUGAUCCAUCCCACACCCAUAUCCACUCCCUCGCAUCUAAAGCUGCCUGCGGCUUCUUAAGCCUUCCCAAUGCCCCUCCCUCAGAAAGCGAGGAUGAGAGGAUAGUAAGGGAGUUUGCAAAUCUGCUGGAUGCAUGUGAAGCUUAUCAAGACAUGAGUUUUGAGAAGAGUACAUUGAUGCCAACCAUUUCUCAGAGGUUCAUGGGAAUGAAGGCUGCUGUUAUCACAAAUAGUCCUUACCUGAAAUCUUUUGGCAGCAAGAUCGGCUUCAAUGUGUUGCAAUUCAGUGAUUUAAAUGGAAAUGAUUGUUCACUUUUUGGAACAUCAGUUGAUCUUGUGACCUCUGAGUUACUAAAGUUGCUUGGAUUUCAAGAGGGGCAGACAAUAGAAACAAGCCAAUUUGAUUUUGUACUUGUGCACAUAGGGGCUGGUGAAAGAGUGAAUAGUGAGAGAGGCAGCGAUGUUAUAAGUGACACAGAAUAUAUAAAUGCUCUGGUUGGUGGUGUAAUGAACACAGCACAACCUGGUUCAGAAAUUGGUUCCCGCCUGCACUUGUCUCUUGUGAUGAGCUACGGAAAUUACGGAGAGAUGGGUACCAAUUUAUCAAUUCUGGCUUCUAAAGAUGAAAUGAACUCUGACCUUUCCAUGCUUCUCCCUCGUCAAAGUUACACAAUGAAAGGAGAAAAACCACGGACUGAUGUUAGGCACCACUGUCCAAUGUUAAUUGCUCAGUGGCAGUAUGCUGUGACCCGCAUGGAUUUGGCAGAGACGUUUUCUUUUAAAGAUUUUAAAAAGCAUGGUGGAAAUGGCGUAAUACCAGCUGACAGAUUUAUGCACGAGGUUGCAUUUAAGCUUUGGAAGGCCCCAAAAUAUGGAGCAUAAGCAAGGUUUCCUUGA
rnacentral:misc_RNA from 1 species